rnacentral:lncRNA from 1 species
CAAGAAUUAACUUUAGCCAAAUGAUGCUGAGACAGAAGCCUGACAGAAAAAGAGAAUCUCGUUUCUGAUUUGGCCCUAAGUGAAGCUGCAGUCAAUCCACAGUUGGGUCGGUGGCCCUCUGGGUGCGGAGGGAGGUUCGUGUGAGCGUUGUCCUGGGAGGUUCUUAGGGUCCUGGGGACAUCCCAUAUGCCAACUGUGGUACUGGUUUCAAUGAUGUGCACAUAAGUAAGCCAAAGCUCACUGAAUCAGGGCUAGAGAUGUAUGUAGUUCCCUGAAUGUUCACGCUUAGUGUGCAGCAGGUCCCGGGCUGGAUCCCUGGUAUCCCAGUCACACACACACACACACACACACACACACACACACACACAACACACACCCUUUACCAAAUUGCCAAGGAUUUUGCGUUAAUUUUCUCUCACUAAAGCUGUUAAAAUGAAUAAUAUUUAUAAGUGAGGAAGAAAAUGUUUCUAUCCCAGGAACACACACAUUCACACACACACACACUAACAUUCCGCAAGGAGGAUGAUUCAAGGGGCCAUAGGAUGCCAAAGUUGUCUCAGCUUGUUUGAUCUUUUGCCUUUCCAUAUCAAAAUUUUCAAAAUCAGUUUUGCAACUUCUAAAGAUAAGGCAGCCGGGUUUUGCUUAGCAACUGCACUGGAAUAUCAAUCAGUGAGGGUGUGACGUUUUGCUAGUCUUGAGUCUUCCCGCUUAUAAAUAAGGCACGCUGUUCACUUAGCGAAUAGCUGUCUAGUUUAUGUUGUAGUCUAUUACAGUUUCCAGUGACAGUCAGAGUAAAGUGAACCAUGACCCUCACCGGAGCAAGUCACCCUUAACUUCAUCUGCAGGACCUGGAUGUGACCCUCAUGUGCAAGAAAGGGCUCUCCAGAUAGACUUAAGCACCUUAGAAGCAUCAAUCAAGGUUACCCAGACGGCCAUGCAGCCAUAGAGCUCAUGUAGGGGAAGAGGGGAAGAGGGGGGCGGGGCCAUGGAGAAGAUGGGUGUGAAGAUGGUGGCUAUGGAGACGGAUACUGAAGCGAAUCAGUAUUGUAGCAACAAGCCAAACACUGCGGACGCUGGGUGCCAACGAAGGUGAGAGGGAUUCUGAAGGAACCAUAGCCCUCCUGACAUGCCACUCAGGCUCACGAACUGAGGGGAGCCUUGAGAGAACUCAUUUCCGGUACUCCACAGAAGAGCACGGAUGCCAAUUCAGGAUUUCUCUGAGUGGAAAAGCUGCUGGUCAGCCCCAAGCUGGACAGGCUCUGUUUCCCUGACAGAGUUUCUAGGAGCCAUCUUUUCUCUAGACAAGGCAGUCUCUCAAGUAGAGAAAGUACAACUAAAGACUGUCUUCCCACUAAAACUAAAACACAGCAAAAGUCCACAUUCUAGGUGAGAGCCAAGAACUGGCUUCCGAGCCCCCGUCACAUGUGAGCUGCAUGUGCCCGUGCAUUUAAACGAGACACGAGUACCUGCCACAUUUCCACUCUCCUUUUCACCUCCUCCUCCUCAACAAACUCAGUCAAGUUCGCCAGGGCUUUGGCUGCCAAUAUCCUCCUUGCUUCAGCGUUCAGUUCAGACUGCAGGCCGGCGUGUGGCGUUGCCUCCGGCAGUAUGUGCUGUCCUGGGUUUCCUGUCCACAUGAGAACUGCGCUUUAGGGCUGGUGUCACAGUGCAGGGGGCUGCAGGGGCUCCGGCCCAUCUUGGGAACAGGGCCUGGCACCCAACCCUCAGGAGCCUCACACCGGCAGUGGGCGCCUCGCUCUGAAUCCUUGUGUGUCCUUGUGAAGUUGGGUGGCGCUGGUUCUCCAGGGUUGUGUGAACAGGAGACACCCACCGAGAAGGUUCUGCUCCUCUGUACCUCCUUCGGAGAGUCCUUCCUGCACAAAAGCAGUGAGCCCUCAUCCUUGGUUCUUCUAAGCCUCCACACUUGGACUCAGUCCAGAAAGAAAACGUGUUUCGCACCAGUGUAUCCUUAUGUAAACCUAGCUCUGGAGUCGGCGGCAGGAAGCAAUGGCUUGUGGCGUCUGCUGCUGGAGACUGUGGUCGAGCAGCUCCUGGGCAGGCACUGUCCAAGGUGUCUCCCCUUGCUCCAGGAUGGCUUUGGCCCUCUUUAAGUCUGAGUCACUGUAGCUGAGCUGUCUUUUCAGAUGUGUCAGGGGCUGAAGGCCGCUCAAUAUUCCUCCUCUUCCAGAGGGGGUCAAACUCAUGCUCAUUAGAAAGGAUCACAUCCUGACUGUCGAACUCGGCCACCUCUGCAGUGGGGUUAAACGGGUCAGGCACAUCGCUGUUCUGCCUCAGUAACUCUUGAUCUAGCUGCAUUGUGACCAUUUCAGACACCGUCCUUUUCAAUUUCGGCAGAGAGCUCGGGUCCUUCUAACACGCUCUUCAUCACGACUGGCCUGUUCUCAGCCACGUCCAGCAGCAGCUGCAGACUAGGUGGACGAUCUUGGGCACAUACUUCAGAAGGCGCGCCUCGUAACCAUGAAGCAGAUGACGCUGGCGCAUCAGGUACUGUGCUAAGGUAGUGAAAGGAACGCACAGCUGGAAAGUCAGCACCACUGGCAAACUCUGCAUGUGGCUCUUCUGUAGACCUAAGAACAUGAGUGCGUGGACCUCUCCUCCCUGGAACACCUACAAGGAUUCCUGCCAUAUGGGUUUGUCUGACAGGAAACAGCCCUUGUUGAAACCCUGAAAUCGGAAGAAAACGCCCAGUCCUUGGAGGGCCAGGCCUCCUGGGAUGCCUGGGAUUUGAACUACUACUGGAACAAUCAAAGAGGAAAAGCCGAGUACACACUUGCUCCUGCUGAACUGGCUCGUUUUCCUUGUGCUGACCGAGAGAAUGUGUACUUUUGUGUUUGUAUGUGAGAUCGCAUUUUUCUCCUGAAGUAUUACUCUAAGCUUGGUUCUGCCUAGCUGCAAGCAGGCAGUGGCCACACGAGCUGCUAGCUCAGACCCUGGCCAGGCAUCUGCCAUCUCCACACUCUAAGGAAGUGGCUAUGGCAGGGGCCUAAGGGCACGGGAUGGUCCUGUGGGUUACAUCUGAUUUUGAAUUCCUGCUUUUUUCUUGUAGCACGUCUUCUUUUUCUAACAGUAGUGUGUUUGGAAGUGGAGAGAGGAGAGAGAUGGGAGCUGAAUGGCGUGUCCUCUGCUUUAUGUUCACAAAGUGAAGAAAGCUGAACGUUCUCUCCACGUGCUUAUGCGGACACUGCAUUGCCAGCGGAGGGAAGCACAGGUUAGCUGUUAGAAGAGUGUGAGGACAUGGCAGCAGUGUGGUGCUUGUGAUCUGCACAUACAUUCAAUAAUGAAGAAGACAGACGCUCAAGGACGAGCAGGCUGUGCAAGUGGUAACGUGCUGGAGAUUCACUCUGUAAAACCUCCUCACCUGCGAAGUGUCCUGGAAAGCACAGUCCUUCAAAAAAUUACUCUCAUACUAAAAUAUUUCCAUGUUAUGUAAGACAUGAAAUGGGUACUGAAGUUGCCUAUUGAUUCUGUCACCUAAAAACGCGGCUUUGGGGUUAACGCUUGUGUGUGGCAUAAGGCACAGUCCCACCACAGUCUUUCUGCAUGUGAAUGGGCCAGUGGUUUGUCAUCCUUUGUUGAACAGACUAGCAUCGCAUGUGGAAUUGUCCUGCUACCUUUGUCAUACACACAAAGAUGAUUUCUGGUUCAUUCUAUUAUACUAUAUUUGUCAUUAUUUUGAUGAAAUAGCAUU